GGAGGGUGCUAGCGUUGUUCGGAAUCACUGGGCGUAAAGGGCGUGUAGGCGGUCUGUUAAGUCUGAUGUGAAAUCCCCUCGCUCAACGAGGGAACUGCGUCGGAUACUGGCAGACUCNAGUACCGGAGAGGAAGGUGGAAUUCCCGGUGUAGCGGUGAAAUGCGUANAUAUCGGGAGGAACACCGGUGGCGAAGGCGGCCUUCUGGACGGAUACUGACGCUGAGACGCGAAAGCGUGGGGAGCAAACAGGAUUAGAUACCCUGGUAGUCCACGCUGUAAACGAUGGGCACUAGGUGUCGCGGGUAUUGACCCCUGCGGUGCCGCAGCUAACGCAUUAAGUGCCCCGCCUGGGGACUACGGCCGCAAGGUUA
rnacentral:rRNA from 1 species